rnacentral:rRNA from 1 species
CUACGGGACGCUGCAGUGGGGAAUAUUGCGCAAUGGGCGGAAGCCUGACGCAGCCACGCCGCGUGAGUGAUGAAGGCCCUAGGGUCGUAAAGCUCUGUCGGGGGGGAAGAAGAUCUGACGGUACCCCCCAAGAAAGCACCGGCUAACUGCCGUGCCAGCAGCCGCGGUAAUACGGAGGGUGCAAGCGUUGCUCGGAAUCACUGGGCGUAAAGCGUACGCAGGCGGACCGAUAAGUUGGGUGUGAAAGCCCGGGGCUCAACCCCGGAACUGCAUUCAAAACUGUCGGUCUUGAGUACGGGAGAGGGAAGCGGAAUUCCUGGUGUAGAGGUGAAAUUCGUAGAUAUCAGGAGGAACACCCGCGGCGAAAGCGGCUUCCUGGCCCGAUACUGACGCUCAUGUACGAAAGCGUGGGGAGCAAACAGGAUUAGAUACCCUAGUAGUC